UUAGUGGUAUUGUUGUUUUAAAGAGAUUGGCGGUUUCGGUCUCUUUCUUGUCAUGUCAGAUAAGCUAACACAGCUGCAACGCGCACAUUCGGCUACAUUUUCCCCAAUGUAUUUCACAUUUACAGCUAUAGUAGAUAACUGGCGCGUGUUAACCGAUUAGUGGAAAACAUUGAAGUGGUUGUUUAAGCAAACAUGGCUUGCUUCGGUUAAUCUUGCCUUAAUAUGUGACGCACUCAUUGGAAACGCAACCGAAAGUGAAUAUUUCUACGGACGUUUGGGUGGUUUUUAUAUCCAUGCAGAUUUGCAUAUCCGACUGUCAAUCUUCACGGAAAAUAGGUUUGGUUGGUGUUUCGGGAAGAUUGUGGAGCUAUAGUAGCAAGCAGCUUAAUAUUAAGCAUGUGCAGCAGAACCAAGUCCUUAGAGUUUUGUUUUUAGAACACGUCCAACACACAGGGAUUCCUUUUCAUGGCGGUGGGGUCCUGGAAUUUGUAGUGGACCCCCACCCCAUCUGUCUCAAUAACAACAUGUAUCCUGGCGAUGUUAGGGGAUGGGACACUCUGGAAACCCUGGUGGAGGAUCUCAACAAUGCACAGGAGAAACCCCUCAACCUUUUUUUUUUUUUUUUUUUUAUAACUAAGCAUGGUAUUUGGAUUAGACCUGAUAUAUUUGGAAGGCCAAAUCUGCAAACAGUUUCAUUUGCAGCAAGGAGUCCUCAACUUGCAUUAAAGGAAUCCGUGUGAACACAGAAGUUAAACUAUUUUGGUUUUUUAUUUUCUUUUAGUUUAUUCAAAGGAUUCUUAAAAUUAAAUGUAUUCUGUUAUUCAUUUAGUCAAUUUCAAAUAAUCAGAUUUUAAAAUAGGGGGACAAGGGUGGCCAGUGUUUUCUUCAGAGAGAAUUCACUUAGAUGAGCUCUUUGUCUGACAGUAUUGACAGUAUUGAGACAAUUUUAAGGAAAGUGGCAGUAUAUAAAAGAAAAGGAAGGCAAAUAUUAUUGUUCAUAUGUUCCAUAUAGGUUUGAAUAUUGCAAAGGAGCAUGCAAUGAGAUAAGACAGAAAACCUAACAUUUCUGAAGUGGUGUCAAAUAUGAUUGGAAAGAAAUCCUAUUGGAGGGAUAACUUAUAAACUAGACUAAGAUUUUUAGCCUAGUGUUUUUAUAGGUCUGAAUUUGUAUUGCUUGUGGUUUUUUGUCCAUAAUGUAUAGGGUGUCCUAAAAAGGUUCAAUUUCACUUGUUUAGUAAUUGUGAUUGCUGUGAUACGUGGGUCUCACCCUGAGUGUUUUGAGUUGUUGCUUUGGCUGUAUCCUACCUGGCUCCUACAAAGCAAGUGUUUGGAAGCAGUUAAACAGUGUUUGUGUGGGUGUCAACAGUGUAAACAACCAACAGGCUUUGUUUUUCCAGGAUUUCAAAUGAACAAAGAUUGUUACUGUUGUCGUGAUGCAGCAUAAGCUGUCGAGUGCAUGCUGUAUUCUUAAAGGUUUUCUUGGGUUUUAAAGAGGCAUUUUUGGGAGUUGCAGUUCAACCCUGACGUUCUCAUUUUGCUGACUUGUGUAUUUCCACGGUUGCUCCAUGUGGUCUUGAUUACAGCUAAAUUGGUAUUUAUUGGUAUCUAUCGCUUUUGAGGUUUAAUGGCGUUUUGGAAUGUUGGGGAAUUGAUGCAGAGCUCACGGUACUCUUUGGGAAAUAAUGUUGUUCUGUACCCUUUUGUCUACAGGUCCGGGUUGUUUGUGCCUCAGCAUGGCAGUCGUCAUCCGUUUACAGGGGCUGAAAGUCACCGCAGGUUCUGAGGAUAUUCGAAAAUUCUUCACUGGGCUCAAAAUUCCAGAUGGAGGGGUGCAUAUUAUUGGUGGAGAUCACGAGGAAGCAUUCAUAAUUUUUGCUUCAGAUGAAGAUGCAAGAAGAGCCAUGACACGUUCAGGAGGUCAAAUUAAGGGUUCGCCAGUUACAUUGUUACUAAGUAGUAAAACAGAGAUGCAGAACGUGCUUGAAAGAACAACGCAAAUCGUUGAGCUGGAUCAGAAGAAGCAAGUUGGGAGAUCGGUUGAUCCUAAAGUGGAUCGGAGGUCAAGUGGUCGCACAGAAACUACUCAUCCCAUUUACGUCAAAAGAGAUAUGGACACAGAAAGAUAUUUUGUGGUGUUUCUAAACGGACUGCCAUUCUCUGUGACUGAAAACCAAAUCUGCGAGUUUUUCAAGGGUUUAGAAACAAAUGAGAUUGUGUUGCUGAAGAACCACAGAGGGCAAAACAAUGGAAAAGCCUUUGUCAGGUUCGUAACAAGGGAAGACGCAAUGGAAGCCUUGAAAAAGAAUAUGGAAUACAUCGGGACAAGGUAUGUGGAGGUUUGCACAACAACGAUCAACGAAUGGUAUCGUGCAACUGGUAGAAUGCCGAUGGGUCUCAACGUGGACGACAAUUUUGAAAGGGGGAGAAUGCCUGAUCACAGGCAAAGAAUUUCACCACAUACACGCUCGCGAUCACCCAUGAUGCAACGGCAUGCUCCUGCUUCGGAAGAAGAGUACUGCGUUUUGUUGGACAAUCUGUCCUACGGCAUGGAAAAAGAAGAUAUAAAACAAAUGUUUCGUGGUGUCAAACUCGACAAUGACCAGAUCUUGCACUUAACUGACCCUGCGGGGAAAAGAACAAGAUCUGCAUUUGUGCUGUUCAAGAGUUUCCAUGACUACAACAGGGCCAUAAGCAAUGAGAAAAAGCUGUUAUACAACCGAUGGGUGAACAUCCGUCCCAUCUCCAGGGAGAACAUGUUGGCUCUUCUGCAGUCCCAGAACACUGCUAUAGGACCUCCUGAAAACAACCAGAGCUAUCAAGAGAGACCUCCAUCCCACCCCAGGGAUCCCUAUGAGUCUGAAAAAGCCUGCGUGUAUGUGAAAAACCUUCCAUUUGAUGUCAGAAAAGUCGAAAUAAUGGACUUCUUUCAUGGGUUUAAUGUCUCAGAGAGCAGAGUGUCUGUGCUUCAAGACCAUAAAGGUGCUGGUGUUGGACAGGCUUUGGUCCUUUUUGGGUCUGAGGCAGAAGCCAUGGAAGUGCUCUGUCUUAAUGGUCGUCGGCUUCUUGGGUCAGAAGUCAUCCUGAAGUGUAUUUCCCGUUUUCAAAUGAAGCAGCUGACAGCUGAACCGCUCAUGCUGCAAGAACCAUUACCAAGGGAGGAGUGGUACCCGAGCAGGCGCAGCAGGAGCAGUGAGGCAUCUUUUCGCCCGGAUAACACUAUGAACCCGGACAUUAGGAAUCCAAGGGAUGGCAUUUUACCUCAAGGGAAUGUGCAGAGCCACAUUCACAGAGGCACUGAUUACGAACCACCUGCUGUGAAGCCUCGCCCUCCUCGAGACUGGGGUAAUGGAGACCAUGGUAGUUUUGGCUCCCCUGUGCAGCACUUUGACGGUCCCACGUGUGUGCAGUUGGUCAACUUGCCCUUCCAGAUCAAGAGUGAAGAAAUCUAUGACUUCUGUUAUGGAUACCAUAUCAUACCUGGAUCUGUCUCACUUCAGUAUGACCAGAGUGGAAAUCCAAAAGGCUCUGCCACUUUGGUGUUUGAGUCUCGCCAGGAAGCCUUAACUGCGCUUCGGGAAUUAAAUGGACGACCAAUUGGACCAAGAAAAAUUGAGCUAAUACUUCUUUAGGACAAUAUAGUUUUUUAGGGAAGUGUGCCUGAGGUAAUUCUUGUUGCUUAACUUUAAAAAACAAACGACUACAACCCACAUCUUUAAGACUUUUUAUUUCUAGUGGGGAAUUCUAUUGAUUUAAUUUUAGUUGAUACUAUGUAGUGCUUAAGUAAAUGUUUCCCGAUUUUGUACUAUUUUCCUUCCCAUCUAUUUAGGAAUUUCAGUGCAUUUUGAGAUUUUGUGGGUGAUGUUCCUGAAAAACAAUGUUUUUUUUUUUAAUAAAAAAAAUCUUCAAACCGUCUCUUAAUUUACCUGUGAUACUAUUUAAGUAGUAUCUGAGGAGUCAGAAAUUCAAGUGAAAUGGGUAUAGAAAAUAGAAACUGUAGAAGCACGUUUUAAAAAAAAGAUGAGGCAAAAGUGUUUUACAGAGGAAUAUUUAAUAUGGGGUUGAUUAAAACAUUUUUUGAAUGUACACUAAACCAUGGCAGGAUACAAGAAAGUUGCUCAAAUUUAUGGACUCAUGUUCUCGCUCAAGUGUCUACUUGUAAGCAGUUUUUACAAUUAUACAUUCAUAAAAACAAAUUGAAACCAAAGGUUUUACAAAAGAACUUUACUUUCUUUAGGAAGUGAUCAAUCUAUUGUAAAUGGCCAAAUUUUUAAAUUUUAACGUUUUUAUAUUUCACUUCUAAAUUUUAAACUGUUUGCCAGUGUUUUCUCACCCUUGGCAGAGAUGCUUAUUUAAUUAUAUUAUUGCAUGAGUCGGGGUUGGUGAUUUUGCAUUCUUUGUUUUUUUUUACAGUACCUUAAACUGUUUUCUUUACAUAAAAUUAAUUUGAAAUUAUAAUUAUACUUUACGUGGUUUGUGUUUUUUAAUCCUAAAAAAUAAACUUGUAUUUCCCAAAGCAAUUUAGCAGCUCAUUAAAUAAGUUACACUAUAUAUUUCUUCAACCAGGUGUGUUUAAAGGGAGACAUUGUAGGCUUGAGAUCAACCUUAAAAGAACGUGUUUAAUGAUUGAAUAGUAAAAACAUUUGUUUCGUUGUUAAACUAAUAAUUACGAAAACUUUGCAGGGGUGGAAUAAAAUAAACGUUAUAGUUGGCAAGUCUGAUCACAUAAAAAAAGCCAGGUUGAUUUUAUUGUGAAAGUUUAAACAGGAAGUGAAGGACUACAUGACGCCGCUGAGGUGAGCAGACACAAGCACGCAGAGAGUUUGAUGUGAAGAAUGGAGGUAGCAAGGCGAAGGAUGAUUCAGAAACACUUGCAACCAACGAGACCCCUGCGUCGCUGCACUUACGUUGAUUAUGGUAACGUUAAUUGUGACCUGCAAAUAACAGCAGGUGCAUGUGGCCAGGGACAGUUUAUGCAAGAGAUAAAAGCUGAUAUAGAGCAUUUUCACAACAACGUCAGUCUGCAUGAACAGAAAAAAGCUAAAAUUUCUUACUCAAGGGAGUUUUUAAUGGGCCUGGCCAGCUGCCCAGAGGCAAAGAUUAAACCACUAUUCUUGCCUGACAAUCCCAUAAUACUCUCUGAAGCAAGAGAUCCAGGACGACUCGAGCUUGGUGAGAUCCAAGGGAGAGGUGAUCAAGUGUACAUGUGAGGUUGACCAAAUGGUGAUCUAAGGACUCUCCUGGAGAAUGUUUUAUGGGUCAUAUUGUCAUUUAUGUUUGUGUGUUGGGUGAUAUUUUUCUUUUCUUUUUCAAAUAUUUAAAUUUGCAUGCUGUUCAAGUAUUUAAUAUAAAUCUUUUGUUUACUUGUAUUUCCUUUCUGUCUUAAAAACGUGUGUAUAUUGUUUAAAAGUUUCAUUCUAGACAGGAAGUGCCUAUAGUAAUAAUUAUUUGACUUAAGAAGUUUAAAGUGAAAUGCAUUGGUGUUAUAGAUUACUGAAAAAAAGCUAAGUUUACUCCUUAUAAAACGAAUUAUUUGUAUGCACACCAAUUAAAAAAAUAAAAAUAAAAACUUUGUUUGAAA